CACUAUGUAUACAAGGGGCAUAACCACUCAGCAAAUUGUACUUACGGAUUUCGGAUGUGAUUGUGGAAUGUGUUUUAGUUUCAAACAUUUGUUAUGAUUUAUGAGAAUUUGGUGUCGCAAAAACUGGUGAACAGUGCCAGAAGAAGUACCAAAAUUCCAAGGCUCGGUCUUCUUCAUAUGCUUAACAAAGCAGUGAGCGUGCCACAACAGCCAGCAGUGAAGAACAUAUGAGUGUACCAGUCAUGAAAGUAGAGGCAUGAAGUGGAAAGAAUCGCUCACAAAGAAGACCGACAAGAGAUCACAAGCCGAUACCUUAACAAAACUUACAGAGAAACGGAUGGGAAAUAACUAACUAU